GUCUUCAGUGAGGGGAGGGCAGCUGCUCUGACAGGUGAGUGUAUCUUAGACAACCGAAACACAAACAUACUCCAAGGACAUGACGGCAGUUCAGGGAUGGAGAGGAAAGCUUUGGGGCACAGAAGAGAAAGAGUGACUCACCUGUCGCGUAUAUAGUUUCUCACCAGCAUCUGUGAACCUGAUGGGCUCCUAAGUGGCUCCUUCUGGAACAUUCCCUGACUGGGUACCACAUACCCUCUGACUCUCCUGAACCUUUUGUUCCCAAAGCACUUUUAAAUGAAGGUGCCUUCAAGCUCCUGUGGAUCGUAAAGAUCUCAAUGAGCUGGGACAAAGAUAUUGAAACUGAUACCACUCAGGUCAGAGGGGAUGACUUAAGUGUAUGAGAACCUUUUUUCUCCUUUGGGACAUUGAACAUAAGUGGUGUGGAAUAAUGUUACGCUUCUCUGAAGGGUCCUAAAUGGUUGAAGAACACCCCUCAAGAGAUGGAAAGAAUCUAAGAGCCAGAGAGAAUGGAUGACUCCAAGGAAACACAAUGGGACGGAUGACCACAUGAACGCUCCGUGACUCUAGCAGCUUGCACCAGGCCUGUACAGGUUCAAGCCAGACGGGCUUCCAGCACUGAGAGGGGAAUUGGACAUGGGCUUCUACUCCUUACUAAGAAGCUCUCGGCAACUGAUACCGACUUGCAAAGGCAAAAAGUUUUCUCCAAUGAAGUACCACUGAGUAUAUUAACCAUACUUCAAGGUAUGUGGAGCCUGACUGUGAAACUCACAUGACCUAUACAACCAUCUGUAACUCCACUUCUGGAGGAUCCAGUGCCUUCUUUCUGACUGCCACAGGUACGAGGUAGUGUGCAUUUUCUCCUGAACUGCUACCUAAUGUGUACACAUGGCUCAGCCUUCUGCAAACUUUUGACCAAGGGAGAAAGCUCAGAGCUUGGCUGAUAGGCUGGACUCCACAAGGUCUCCAGGGGUGGGGACUGGAACUUAUCUGAAGAGGAACUGGUAGACGAGUCGUCAGAAAACAACUGAGGCAUCCUGCCAUGACCUAUCAGCUCUCUCUGCUGCCUCCCAACUCUUACAGCCUUGGGAGAGGCACAUUCACUUGGAAUUGUAAUGAACAGGUGUCCAUUUACUUUGGAUUCAGGCCAAAGAGUCAAGCCAAUGUCAUUUGUAGGCACAAUCACUUUAAGUUCAGACCCAUGAAGACCUUUUCUGGUACUUUUGUCUGAAUUAGAGAUGCGACUUAA
rnacentral:lncRNA from 1 species